rnacentral:rRNA from 1 species
UACGGAGGAUGCGAGCGUUAUCCGGAUUUAUUGGGUUUAAAGGGUGCGCAGGCGGCACGGCAAGCCGGCGGUCAAAUCGCGGGGCUCAACCCCGCCCAACCGUCGGAACUGCCGGGCUAGAGUGGGCGAGAAGUGGGCGGAAUGCGUGGUGUAGCGGUGAAAUGCAUAGAUAUCACGCAGAACUCCGAUUGCGAAGGCAGCGCACCGGCGCCCUACUGACGCUCAGGCACGAAAGCGUGGGUAUCGAACAGG